AGAAUCAACGCUGGCGGCGUGCCUCAGACAUGCAAGUCGAACGCGAAAGUCCCCUUCGGGGGACAAGUAGAGUGGCGCACGGGUGAGUAACACGUAGGUAAUCUACCUUCGGAUGGGGAAUAACAACCGGAAACGGUUGCUAAUACCGCAUAAUGCAGCGGCACCUAAUGGUGACAGUUGUUAAAGCGGGAGAUCGAAAGACCUCGCGUCUGAAGAGGAGCCUGCGGCGAUUAGCUAGUUGGUAAGUAUGGCUUACCAAGGCAACGAU
rnacentral:rRNA from 1 species